CGCCACCAAGUUUAUAUUCAAUUCCAUUAGUCUUGAGUAUAAUCUUUGACUGUUCACUCGACGUCUAGAAGAACGCCUACGGCCGUAAGAAGACGCGAAAUUUGUAUGUAAAAAAAUCUAAGUUGGUAUUUGCGAGAGUGGAUUGUAUACAACAUGGUGAUGGAUGUGCCUGGGAUAAAUAAUAUCAGCUUUGUUUGUUCUAAAUAAUAAUAUGGGAUUUUAUAUAUGCGUACAUCAUUUGCUAUGGCGAAUGUUAAAGUUGCAGUACGAGUCCGACCUUUGAGUAAAAAAGAGGAAGAGACAGGAUCAUCAUUUAUUUUGGAUGUUAGUGAAAACGUGCUAAGCAUAGUCAAUUUGAAGGUUGAGGGACCUGCUACUGAUGGUGAUCGUCAUCGCCAACGUGUCAGACAUUUUACAUUUGAUUUUUGUUAUUUAUCA
rnacentral:misc_RNA from 1 species